rnacentral:rRNA from 1 species
CCUACGGGGGGCAGCAGUAGGGAAUUUUCGGCAAUGGGGGCAACCCUGACCGAGCAAUGCCGCGUGAACGACGAAGGUCUUCGGAUCGUAAAGUUCUGUGAUUGGGGAAGAACAGCAUGAUCAGGAAAUGGGUCAUGUUUGACGGUACCCGAUUAGAAAGCCCCGGCUAACUAUGUGCCAGCAGCCGCGGUAAAACAUAGGGGGCGAGCGUUAUCCGGAAUUAUUGGGCGUAAAGAGUACGUAGGCGGCCUGUUAAGUCUGAUGUGAAAUCCCGCGGCUUAACCGCGGAGGGUCAUUGGAAACUGGCAGGCUUGAGUACGGCAGGGGUAAGUGGAAUUCCAAGUGGAGCGGUGAAAUGCGUAGAUAUUUGGAGGAACACCAGUGGCGAAGGCGGCUUACUGGGCCGGAACUGACGCUGAGGUACGAAAGCGUGGGGAGCAAACAGGAUUAGAUACCCUUGUAGUC